AUCUAUUUUGAAGUUCUUACUUCCCACUUUCAAUAUCAUCUAAGCCAUAGUUCUUGUCUCUCUUUAGUCUACCUUGCAGGAAAAGCUGCAACUACUGGAGUUCCAAGCAUUUAUGUACCUAGCAUCUAUGCACCCAGCAGCCAACUGAAAUCAGGACCCCCACCUACUAUGAUUCCCAUGGGUCCAGCACCUUCUAUGUACAAUGGCUACGGAGUGGAUUAUGACAGGGCCAGCUCAGUUGGUGGAAACAGCUCGCAGGUGCCUCUCCUGAGGGAUACAGAGAGUGCUGUAAAUGCUGGUAAGAAACACAGGGUUGGAACACAGGUGCUGAAGUGUCUGCUGGUUCUUGGUUGAAAGAUGUUUAGAAAUAAGUGGAGACUCUACAGCUAUCCUGUAGGUAGUUGCUGCAGAUUUUAUUGAUCUCACAUGGUAGAUUGAGGGGAAGCUGCUCAGACUAUUUAUUAAUCUUUGGGCUCACUUGGAAAAAAUGUAUUAUAGUAGUACCUCGGUUUAUGAAAUUAAUGUUUUCCGGGACGUUACUUAAAGCAAAAAAUUCGUAAACGAGAAUGCAGAUUGCCAUAGGAAUGGGGGAGGCACUAUAAACCUCCGGGCACAAUGCAUCCCUGCGAAAUUUUCUCUGUAAACUGAAAAAAAAACAGAAAAAAACGUAAACGGAGACAUUAUUUUCAAUGGAUUUCCGUUUGUAAACCGAGGUAUCACUGUAAUUGCUUAUGGUACUUUGGUUGAGCCAUCCAGAAACUGAAUUAGAUGUUUGGAGGGGAAAAAUUGAGAACUGAUGCUUCCCUCUACUGGGCAAGAGCAAAAUUGCUUGCAUAGUGAUGACGCUGGAAUAGGAAUCAGUCUUGCAGUGACUCAUGAGGAGUGAGUCACAUGUAUUGCUUCUGAAUUUGCAAAUGUACUUUUCUCAUCAUAAUAGGAGUGAAUGCAUCAUAUGACUCUGGAAUGUCCCCUUAUUUAGUGCCAGGAAUACAUGGAAGUUUCUGAAUCUAGAGAGUUUGAUUUUUCUGAGCUGGGUAGGACAGACACUAUAGCCAAGAAUGGUGCUGAGGGUUAGGCCAACACGUGUCUUUGCUGGAGACAAUCUAGUCCCUCAGACUGAAGAAGUUGACUGUGGCUGACACAUCUCUUUAGGUGAGCAGGUUUCUUUAGAUCUGAGCCACAGAGAAUACAAAUAAGAUCAUAUAAGCAGAUAUUUAGUUCAGUUAAUGUUAUCCCACUCUUCCAUCUUAAGAUACACAAAACAGCUAAUGAUCUGAAGCAGUUAGGCCACUGUGGUCUUCCAGAUUGAUCGGAGUUUUCUUGCCUACAACUUCCAGAACCCUGGCCAUCGUAG
rnacentral:lncRNA from 1 species